GAUGAACGCUGGCGGCGUGCCUGAUACAUGCAAGUCGAGCGAACGGACGAGAAGCUUGCUUCUCUGAUGUUAGCGGCGGACGGGUGAGUAACACGUGGAUAACCUACCUAUAAGACUGGGAUAACUUCGGGAAACCGGAGCUAAUACCGGAUAAUAUUUUGAACCGCAUGGUUCAAAAGUGAAAGACGGUCUUGCUGUCACUUAUAGAUGGAUCCGCGCUGCAUUAGCUAGUUGGUAAGGUAACGGCUUACCAAGGCAACGAUGCAUAGCCGACCUGAGAGGGUGACCGGCCACACUGGAACUGAGACACGGUCCAGACUCCUACGGGAGGCAGCAGUAGGGAAUCUUCCGCAAUGGGCGAAAGCCUGACGGAGCAACGCCGCGUGAGUGAUGAAGGUCUUCGGAUCGUAAAACUCUGUUAUUAGGGAAGAACAUAUGUGUAAGUAACUGUGCACAUCUUGACGGUACCUAAUCAGAAAGCCACGGCUAACUACGUGCCAGCAGCCGCGGUAAUACGUAGGUGGCAAGCGUUAUCCGGAAUUAUUGGGCGUAAAGCGCGCGUAGGCGGUUUUUUAAGUCUGAUGUGAAAGCCCACGGCUCAACCGUGGAGGGUCAUUGGAAACUGGAAAACUUGAGUGCAGAAGAGGAAAGUGGAAUUCCAUGUGUAGCGGUGAAAUGCGCAGAGAUAUGGAGGAACACCAGUGGCGAAGGCGACUUUCUGGUCUGUAACUGACGCUGAUGUGCGAAAGCGUGGGGAUCAAACAGGAUUAGAUACCCUGGUAGUCCACGCCGUAAACGAUGAGUGCUAAGUGUUAGGGGGUUUCCGCCCCUUAGUGCUGCAGCUAACGCAUUAAGCACUCCGCCUGGGGAGUACGACCGCAAGGUUGAAACUCAAAGGAAUUGACGGGGACCCGCACAAGCGGUGGAGCAUGUGGUUUAAUUCGAAGCAACGCGAAGAACCUUACCAAAUCUUGACAUCCUUUGACAACUCUAGAGAUAGAGCUUUCCCCUUCGGGGGACAAAGUGACAGGUGGUGCAUGGUUGUCGUCAGCUCGUGUCGUGAGAUGUUGGGUUAAGUCCCGCAACGAGCGCAACCCUUAAGCUUAGUUGCCAUCAUUAAGUUGGGCACUCUAAGUUGACUGCCGGUGACAAACCGGAGGAAGGUGGGGAUGACGUCAAAUCAUCAUGCCCCUUAUGAUUUGGGCUACACACGUGCUACAAUGGACAAUACAAAGGGCAGCGAAACCGCGAGGUCAAGCAAAUCCCAUAAAGUUGUUCUCAGUUCGGAUUGUAGUCUGCAACUCGACUACAUGAAGCUGGAAUCGCUAGUAAUCGUAGAUCAGCAUGCUACGGUGAAUACGUUCCCGGGUCU
rnacentral:rRNA from 1 species